CCUACGGGAGGCAGCAGUGAGGAAUAUUGGGCAAUGGGCGCGAGCCUGAACCAGCCAAGUAGCGUGAAGGAUGACUGCCCUACGGGUUGUAAACUUCUUUUAUAAAGGAAUAAAGUGAGGCACGUGUGCCUUUUUGUAUGUACUUUAUGAAAAAGGAUCGGCUAACUCCGUGCCAGCAGCCGCGGUAAUACGGAGGAUCCGAGCGUUAUCCGGAUUUAUUGGGUUGAAAGGGUGCGUAGGCGGGCUAUUAAGUCAGCGGUAAAAUGUCGGGGCUCAACCCCGGCGUGCCGUUGAAACUGGCGGCCUAGAGUGGGAGAGAAGUAUGCGGAAUGCGUGGUGUAGCGGUGAAAUGCAUAGAUAUCACGCAGAACUCCGAUUGCGAAGGCAGCAUACCGGCGCCCGACUGACGCUGAGGCACGAAAGCGUGGGUAUCGAACAGGAUUAGAUACCCUGGUAGUC
rnacentral:rRNA from 1 species